rnacentral:rRNA from 1 species
GACGAACGCUGGCGGCGUGCUUAACACAUGCAAGUCGAACGGUGAAGCGCUUUCCUUUUUGGUUGGUGUGGAUGAGUGGCGAACGGGUGAGUAACACGUGAGUAACCUGCCCCCUUCUUCUGGAUAACCGCAUGAAAGUGUGGCUAAUACGGGAUAUUCUGCGCCUGCUGCAUGGUGGGUGUGGGAAAGAUUGUGCCUUUGGGUGUUUUCGGUGGGGGAUGGGCUCGUGGCCUAUCAGCUUGUUGGUGGGGUGAUGGCCUGCCAAGGCGGUGACGGGUGGCCGGGCGGAGAGGGUGGACGGUCACACUUGGACUGAGACACGGCCCAGACUCCUACGGGAGGCAGCAGUGGGGUAUAUUGCACACUGGGCGCAAGCCUGAUGCAGCGACGCCGCGUGAGGGAUGGAGGCCUUCGGGUUGUGAACCUCUUUCGCCAGUGAAGCAGGCCUGCUCCUUGUGGGUGGGUUGACGGUAGCUGGAUAAGAAGCGCCGGCUAACUACGUG